ensembl:lncRNA
UCCAGCUCCAGCAGGAGAGCAGGGCCAGGGCUGCACCUUGCUGCUCUCGCCUCCCUUCCAGCUUCCCGGUGCUCCAGCAGCAUGGGGACCAGGGGAUGGACGCUUCCAGCCUUCGUGGGAUGCUGCCUAUGGAUUCUGCAUGGGCUCGGGGCCGCCGUCGCCGUCCCUGUGACCACGGAGGAGCCGUUUGGUGCCCACACGGCUUCUCCCACCGCGGCGCCGAGCGAGGCACGGGGCGCCCUGCCGCUGGGCGCCGCGGGGACGAGCACCGCCGUGGCUGAUACUGAGACAACCGAGAGCAUCCUCGCGGGACGCCCGGCCAGCCCGUCCUUCCCCUCCGGGGCCGAGGCAGAUUUGGUGACCACGACCAGCGCUCCGACCAGCGCUCCGGCUGCGGGGAGCGAUGCUGAGGCUGGGCUCAGCCCCAGCGCAGCAACACAGGCUCCCAGCGGAGAGCCCCAGGCGGUGACGGACGUGGCCACGUCUCUUAAUGCGUCCCAGGGAAACCAGACGGUUUCGACUGCCGCCUUGGUUUUCACCCCCCAGCCUGCUUUCACCCCCAGCGCAGAGCUUGAUGUAACGGCGGCCGCUCCUGCUGCACCCCCCGGGGCCACCCCUCUGUUUGCAGACAUGAGCAAGGACAUCCUCGCGUCCGUGACAAGGGAAGGAGCGGACUUGGAGCCCACGGCUGAUGCCACAUCCCUCCCUGCCACCCUGCCUCCAGCAGCCAUGGGGGCAGAGCCGACAACCGGCAGCCCCCUGGGUCCCCAUGUCACCGCACUGCUGAGCCAAGGGCAGGCCACGGCCACAGGAGCUGCGGAGGAAGGUGUCACCCUGCCUGGGGACAGCCAAGGAGAAGGCAGUGCCCCCUCCUCGAUCCCCAGCCCCGGGGCUGGGGGGCUGCUCACGACACGGUGGGACGAGGUGCCGAGUGGGACCGUGGGUGUCACCCCGGGGCCAGCUCUGGGGUCUGGCAAUGCGGGAGAUGCAGUAAAUGGUGCUGUUGGCACAACUGAUUCAUCCCAUCUGGCUCCAGAGAAUGGGACAGUGUCGGGAGCAGCGGAAAACCCAGGGCAGACCUCCCUCCUCGCUGGACAGGCAGGGCUGAGCCCGGCCACCUCACCAGGACCGGCCGGAGGCGGGGAUGGAGAUGUGCAGGGAGCCCCAGCGGUGUCACCGGCCAGCCCCGGCUCAGCCCCAGCUCCUGCAGCCCCCGAGGCACCUGGGGAGCGAGGGGACACGGCCACCUCACUGCUGGCCUCCAGGGCCCCCACGGAUGCACAGAGCGACACGGAUGCCCCAGCCCCAUCCAUCAUGCUGCCCCUGCCCACGGGGGCUGUGGGUCCGGCCGAGCCUUCCCUGCAGCCUGCCCCAUGGCACAGCCCCACCGGAGAACGGCAACCGCAGCUUGCCGCCGCUCUGCCGUCCCCCACGGACACCCCCAGUGCUCCCGGGGCUGCUUUCCCACCCCCAGGGGCUGCAGCUGGUGAUGGGGCAGAGACAACAGCGAACCCCGACCUCGGUGCUGCCCCAGGAGUGCCUGCCUCGCUGUCCCCUGGGAGGUCACAGCCAUGGGGUACAGCAGCCGCUGCUCCUGAGGGAGCGGAUGGAGCUGGCACCGUCCCGAAUUCAGCUCUGGAUGCUGCCAGCCUGGCUUCUUCUGGACCUAAUGGCCUGGCAGGGCCUGCUCAGGGGGACACAGCAGACAUGGCACGGGCAGGGGACACAGGGGACAGCAGUCCUUACGCAGGCACCCAGGGUGACACCAGCUCUUCGUCCAGCAGCGCUCAGCAGGGUCCCGCUGACACCGCAGAGCUGCCGGCAGCCCCAGCAGGAGCCCUUCCCAGCACCGAGCUGUCCCCUGCUGCAGCUCCUGGGGAUGGAGCAGGAGCAGCCCCGGCACCGGCAGAAGUGUCCCCACCUGGUCCCAUGGCUCCUGGCUACGUGGGGCUGGAGCCCGACCUCUCGGGGGCUGAAGGACUGGGACCAAGCCAAGCCCCUGGUGUUGCUUUCCCACCUCCUGUUGCUGCGUCUGGAGCUGCGUUUGGGACCAGCGAUGGGGCAGAGACGGCAGCAAACCCCAACCUCGGUGCUGCCCAGGGAGCCCCCAUAUCCCCAUUCCUUGUGGGGUCACAGCCGUGGGGGGUGGCAGCUGGUGCUCCCACGGGAGCAGCUCUCCCUGGGGCUGAGGGACCAGGCACAGGCUUCAGUUCAGCACUGGAUGCCCCUGGCUCAGCAUCGCGUGGACCUGUGGGACCCCCAUCACCCACCCUCGGGGUCCUGCCCGGUGCAGACCUGGGGGUGCCGGGAGCAGAGGGGCAGGCACUGGGAGGCAGCAGGACCGGGUCUGAGCCAUCCCUGAGCUCCUCUCCUGGCGCUGGGAUGGANGCUGGGACGGAUCUACUGCCUGGUGCCGUGUCCCUGCCCGGUCCUGCCUCUCCCGGGGACACGCUCACAGCACCCUCUGUUUUGGAUUCAGCCAGCCCAGGUGCCCUGGGAGGAGUGGACGCUGCUCCCAGUGCUGUGCAGCCUGCCCUGGGUGCUGGUCCUGGCGCCCAUCCUCCUGCAGGAGGAGGUGGGGGAGAAGGGGCUGGGGCUGGCAAUGGGGAGUCCCCGGGGGUGUCCCAGGACCUGGACGGAGCAGCUGGAGCCUCUGGUGGAGGAACGGGAGCCGUGCUGCACUCUGCGUCUCCCUCCCCAUCUCCCGAGGGAUCUUCUUCAGCCCCGACAAGCGGUGGAGCUGCUGAGGGAGCAGGAGGUCCUGGAGCUGGUGGAGCUGGUGUAGGACUGAGCCCAGACCCGGAGGCUGCUGGCCCCCAAGGCAACGAGGAGACCCCUGUGCCUGCCCCCGGCAUCCAGAGCGGCGCCGACCUCGGGCUCUCUGAUGCAAACCUGAGCCAAACCAAUGUGGUGCAGCUGGCCGGAGGAGAAAUGGGAGCCUCGGCCCCUUGGGCACCUGCCCCUGGUGCCGGCACAGCAGACGGGGCAGGGGCCAUCAUCCAGAUCACAUCAGGGGUGCUGGCCCCCUCCGUCCUGUCCUCUCCCCGGGAGGUGCAGCCCCUGGUCCCGGUGGCCCCGGAUGCCUCCAGCCCCUUGCUGGCUGCCUCUGCUGGGGGCGUGGGGGGGAGCUCAGCACCAGCACCCAACGGGGGCCCCCCCUCUGCCUCCGGCACCCCAAGUGGGAGCAGCCCCUUGGCACUGGGCUCCCCACUGGCUGCAGUGGUGGCAGGUGCUGGGAGCGCUCUGUCAGGGUCCCCCGAAUAUGAAAUGUCCUCAGGGAUGGCAGCACCUUUGGGAGAAGAGUCCCCACGUGCCCCCGCGCCCGCCAACGCUGCCCCUGCUCUGCCUCCAGCCUCAGAGAGAGAGGAUGCAGCAGCGGGGGCGGCCGCGGGCCCCCCGCCGGUUUCCUCUCCGGUUUCUGGAAGUGAGUGGGGCGCGGGGACACGGGGAGAGCUGGGGGCUGCCU